CGGGGUGUAGCUCAGCCUGGUAGAGCGCCAGCUUUGGGAGCUGGAUGUCGCGAGUUCGAAUCCCGCCGCCCCGACCA
rnacentral:tRNA from 1 species